GCAUUAAUGGGGUAGUGGUAACCUGGGUCGUUGCCAUUUCCCAGUGACCUCUGUGUACAAACAAGUAACUCGACCCGCCGGGAGUUCGAUUCUCUCUUAAUGCA